UAGUGUCAUAUUUGAUAUUAUAUGGAAUAUGUGAUUUGCAGCACAUUCUUACUGAUAUUUCUUUAAAUUACAGGUAUCCUGAAUUUUUGUCAACUUCUAGCCAAGAUCCUGUACUUAAGCUGAAUGUGGAGGACAGAUGUACACACAGUACUAGUAUAGAGGGUAUUAUCUCGGUACCUUAAAACUCCAAACGACAGGGAGAAGAAGAAAACUGCAUAUUUCCGAUGUAUCUUCACAGCAACAUGACCCAAAGCACUACCAUUAAAGGAUUUGAUUUGACAUUAAGGAAGUAAAAAAAUGAAGGCAUUAGUCAUAAAGAAAAUUAAAGAACUUUAUGUCUGAAUAUUAUAUCAACAAUACCAUAGAUCUAAAGAUGGAUUAUUUUGCCUUAUAAUUUAUAUUAAUGCAUGUACAUGUAAUUUUAUUCUUUUUAUAUAUACAAUCAUGUAGUGUUACCAUUUUUCACAAAGCUUAAAAAGUUAUGUAGGGCCACACCAAUUUAAUUUCUUGUUCAUCGGACAUUUGAUUUAAAAAAAGUACAAGCAGUUAAAUGAUAAUAUUAUUACUCUUUGCUGGGCAAUUUUUUAGGCGGAGCGUGAAAAUUUGAGCGGACAAUUAUAUUUUUUCUGAUUUACAGAGUAAGCAGAUAUAAAAUACAAUAAAUAGAGCGGAAAUGGAACAGAAAAUAGCACAGAAUUCCUAUGGUGCGAGAAAUUGAAAUUAAUAUUAUUUGUAUGGUUUUGUUUAAAUAAGCGCGUGGGUCCGACGAACAAAAAUUUUCAUUAGUGUGGCCUAGAUCAUUUAGAUUCAAUUCAUUUUUUUCUUCAAAUUACCACAUGCCAGAAUUCAUAAGAAGGAAAUUUAUAUAUGGCUGGUGGUUGUGGCCAUUUUUAGACUAUAUUGAUCUCCUUUAGAAGGAGAGCUCCUUAUAAAAUUAUACAAAAAAUGACCAAAUUUUAAAACUAAAAUGUACAGAAUUUUUCUUUGCCAAAUGAUAGUUCAUAGAACCACAAUUCUUCAAUCAUGUCUACUUGGAGAUCAGUGGAUGGAUAUUCAUAUACAAUACACAGCUGAAGCAGGUUUUGUUAGGUUAUUUUAUUUUCAAAAGGAAUGCAUUAUUUUCUUCAGUCCAUUAAUGUUAAGCUCUUUAAUAGAAACAAUUGUAGAAGAUUUAUCAUAUUUUGUUUAGAAUUUUGAAGAAUUUGUUAAUCACUCAGUGAAAAUUAUCCCUUGUCAUAAUACAAAUUUUUAAAAUGUAUGUACAAAUACUUUUAUGUUGAAAUGACCAUGCAAGGAAGAAAAUAAAACAAGUUUAAGUGUA